rnacentral:rRNA from 1 species
GAUGAACGCUAGCUACAGGCUUAACACAUGCAAGUCGAGGGGCAGCAUUUUAGUUUGCUUGCAAACUAAAGAUGGCGACCGGCGCACGGGUGAGUAACACGUAUCCAACCUGCCGAUAACUCGGGGAUAGCCUUUCGAAAGAAAGAUUAAUAUCCGAUAGUAUAUUAAAACCGCAUGGUUUUACUAUUAAAGAAUUUCGGUUAUCGAUGGGGAUGCGUUCCAUUAGUUUGUUGGCGGGGUAACGGCCCACCAAGACAACGAUGGAUAGGGGUUCUGAGAGGAAGGUCCCCCACAUUGGAACUGAGACACGGUCCAAACUCCUACGGGAGGCAGCAGUGAGGAAUAUUGGUCAAUGGACGAGAGUCUGAACCAGCCAAGUAGCGUGAAGGAUGACUGCCCUAUGGGUUGUAAACUUCUUUUAUAUGGGAAUAAAGUAUUCCACGUGUGGGAUUUUGUAUGUACCAUAUGAAUAAGGAUCGGCUAACUCCGUGCCAGCAGCCGCGGUAAUACGGAGGAUCCGAGCGUUAUCCGGAUUUAUUGGGUUUAAAGGGAGCGUAGGUGGAUUGUUAAGUCAGUUGUGAAAGUUUGCGGCUCAACCGUAAAAUUGCAGUUGAAACUGGCAGUCUUGAGUACAGUAGAGGUGGGCGGAAUUCGUGGUGUAGCGGUGAAAUGCUUAGAUAUCACGAAGAACUCCGAUUGCGAAGGCAGCUCACUAGACUGCAACUGACACUGAUGCUCGAAAGUGUGGGUAUCAAACAGGAUUAGAUACCCUGGUAGUCCACACAGUAAACGAUGAAUACUCGCUGUUUGCGAUAUACAGUAAGCGGCCAAGCGAAAGCAUUAAGUAUUCCACCUGGGGAGUACGCCGGCAACGGUGAAACUCAAAGGAAUUGACGGGGGCCCGCACAAGCGGAGGAACAUGUGGUUUAAUUCGAUGAUACGCGAGGAACCUUACCCGGGCUUAAAUUGCAUUUGAAUAAUCUGGAAACAGGUUAGCCGCAAGGCAAAUGUGAAGGUGCUGCAUGGUUGUCGUCAGCUCGUGCCGUGAGGUGUCGGCUUAAGUGCCAUAACGAGCGCAACCCUUAUCUUUAGUUACUAACAGGUCAUGCUGAGGACUCUAGAGAGACUGCCGUCGUAAGAUGUGAGGAAGGUGGGGAUGACGUCAAAUCAGCACGGUCCUUACGUCCGGGGCUACACACGUGUUACAAUGGGGGGUACAGAAGGCAGCUACCUGGCGACAGGAUGCUAAUCCCAAAAACCUCUCUCAGUUCGGAUCGAAGUCUGCAACCCGACUUCGUGAAGCUGGAUUCGCUAGUAAUCGCGCAUCAGCCAUGGCGCGGUGAAUACGUUCCCGGGCCUUGUACACACCGCCCGUCAAGCCAUGAAAGCCGGGGGUACCUGAAGUACGUAACCGCAAGGAGCGUCCUAGGGUAAAACUGGUAAUUGGGGCUAAGA